GACGUAGGGCGCGAGCGUUGUCCGGAUUUAUUGGGCGUAAAGAGCUCGUAGGCGGUUUGUUGCGUCGGCUGUGAAAUCCCGAGGCUCAACCUCGGGUCUGCAGUCGAUACGAGCAAACUAGAGUGUUGCAGGGGAGACUGGAAUUCCUGGUGUAGCGGUGAAAUGCGCAGAUAUCAGGAGGAACACCAAUGGCGAAGGCAGCACUCUGGGACGUGACUGACGCUGAGACGCGAAAGCGUGGGGAGCAAACAGG
rnacentral:rRNA from 1 species